rnacentral:rRNA from 1 species
AUUGAACGCUGGCGGCAUGCCUUACACAUGCAAGUCGAACGGCAGCACGGGUGCUUGCGCCUGGUGGCGGGUGGCGAACGGGUGAGUAAUACAUCGGAACGUACCUUAUCGUGGGGGAUAACGCAGCGAAAGCUGUGCUAAUACCGCAUACGCCCUGAGGGGGAAAGCGGGGGAUCGCAAGACCUCGCGCGAUUAGAGCGGCCGAUGCCUGAUUAGCUAGUUGGUGGGGUAAAAGCCCACCAAGGCGACGAUCAGUAGCUGGUCUGAGAGGACGAUCAGCCACACUGGGACUGAGACACGGCCCAGACUCCUACGGGAGGCAGCAGUGGGGAAUUUUGGACAAUGGGGGCAACCCUGAUCCAGCAAUGCCGCGUGAGUGAAGAAGGCCUUCGGGUUGUAAAGCUCUUUUGUCAGGGAAGAAACACCGGCUCUAACACAGUCCGGGAAUGACGGUACCUGAAGAAUAAGCACCGGCUAACUACGUGCCAGCAGCCGCCGUAA